UCCUGGCUGUGCGUGUCCCGGGGUGCGCGUGUCCCGUGUGGCCGUGGAGGGGUGUGCGGGUCCCCGGUGUGCGGGUCCCCGGUGUGCCCACGUCCCUGUGCCCCGGCUGUGCCUGUCCCCGUGUGGCCGUGUCCCUGUGUGGCCGUGUCCCCGGUGUGCGUGCCCCUGCUGUGCCCACGUCCCCGUGCCCCGACUGUGCCUGUCCCCACUUGGUUCAUGCCCUAGGCGUGCCCAUGUCCCUAUGCUUGUGCCAUAGGUGUGCCCACGCUCUAGAUGUGACUGUCCCUGGUGUGCUCAUGUCCUGCCAGGUGUGUGCAUGUCCCUGUGUGCCCAUGCCAUGGGUGUGUCUUUGCCUUGGGUGUGCAUGUCUCCAGUGUGCCAGUGCCAUAGGUGUGUCCGUGCCCCUGGUGUGCCUUUGUCCCUGGUGUGUCCAUGCCAUGGGUGUCACUGUGUCCCUGGUGUGCCCAUGCCCCAGGUGUCACUAUGUCCCUGGUGUGCCUGUGUCCCUGGUGUGUCCAUGCCCCAGGUGUCACUCUGUCCCUGGUGUGUCCAUGCCCCAGGUGUCACUCUGUCCCUGGUGUGCCCACUGUCCCUGGUGUGCCAGGGCCUCCCCACCCUCACAGGGAAGAAUUCCUUCCCAAUGUCUGCCCUAUUUCAGCUUAAAGCCAUUCCUCCUUGUCCUAUCUGUCCUUGCCCAAAGUCCCUCUCCAGCUCUCUGGGAGCCCCUUUAGGCACUGGGUGGGGCUCUGUGUGUCCCUGGAGCCUUCUCUUGUCCAGGAUGAACAACCCCAGCUCUCCCAGCCCAUGUCCAGGUGUCCCCACAGGUGAUGUGCACCUGCAAACCUUCUCAUCUCCCAGCAUUUCAUCCCCAGCAGGGGACAAAAUCCAGCCCUUCCCCUGCCUGCCUCUCCCCAGGGCUGUCCCCGUCACCUCUGUUUGGAUUUCUUCUGUUUGUCCUGCUGUCAUUGUCACCCUGUGCCACCAUCCAUUCCUGUUUGUUUUGGGAGGACAAGGUAUGAGAUUUGGCUGGUGAACAAAGGUUCAUAUUGAGGAUUUUUUGUUGUUUAGACCUAGAUCCAGUGUACAUUUGUACAAAUGCUUAAUUUUCAACCCCAGCCAGCAAGUCCUGGUGAAUUAAUUGGGAUUUUGAGCACAUGCUCUGAGAAGGACUCAGGAAUGCUCAGAGGCUUGUUUUGAUGUGCAGGCUCCUUCUGCUGGGAGAUGCUGCUUCAGAGAGGUCAUUAAUAGUUGUGCUUUUCCCACUGGGCACAAACCUCAGGCCAGCCCCUCAUGCCACAUGGAGAAAAUAAAUCUGCAAAGAUUUUAAUGCUCAGAAAACCAAUAAUUCAAAAUUCACUUUUAAAGAAAACCAACUGAUUGGGAAGAACUGGUUUAACAACCCAAACUGCCUUUCCACCCUCAUUGGUGACUUCUGAGUUCUUUUCCCUUGAAGCUUCAGAACAGAUCCCAGGGUUGUGGCAGAUCCCUCCUGAGGGGGUGCUGGGCGAGUGACUUUCCUGUCUCCCUGCCUCAGUUUCCCCAAGGGUAUGUGCUGUGCUGCCCAGGGACUUGGGGACAGCACACACACAAUGGAAAUGCAGAGACUGGGGUGUGGAACUUGUCUAAAUAAAUGGAGCAGUUAAUUUUCUUUCAGGAGGAAGCUGAAAUUCUCACAUAACAUCAAAUAGUUCUGGUGAUUUGUGGCUUUCAGAGCACUUCCAGGCUUUGCUUCUAAAACUUUUUUUUAUUAUUCUUUUUAAAAAGGCACAGUUAGCAACAAUAUGUUGUGUAAACUUAGAUGCAUAAGUCUGUCAAAUGUCCAGUUGUGUGCUUUUCCUGGCUGGUGUCCAUGUUUUCACUGCAUCUGUACCAAUUGCAGUUAAAAAAAAAAAAAACAAACAACAAAA